CUUCCUCCACUCUUUAUUUUGGAGCCGCCUCCUCCCUCUCAUCCUCUAUGCUAUCUAACCGGCAAGGAUGACCCAUGUAGCAGCAGCGCCUCAUCUUGCCUCCGGUGCUCUCCUCUCAAUUUUUCUCCGGCAUAGAUCGUCACCACGUGCUGGUGGCAUCCGUCCCUCUCUCUUUCUCCUCCUUUCCCUGGCAAGGGAAGCAGCCGGACGGAAACACCAGCAACAGCUGCACGCAGCUAGCAGCUUCCAGGUGUCACGCCACCCUCUCUCUGCCCCUUUUUCUCUCUCCCUUUUCCGACAGCCGCCACCCCCUCUUCUUCUCCCUCUCCCUUCGUUCCUCCUCUCUCUCUCCGUCUUUCUCCCCUUCCCGUCCUCCUCCUCUUCUCUUCUUCAUCACCUCUUUCCUCCCUUCUCUCUUCUCGUCUUAACCCCUCUCUUCGCCUCUCAACUCCUCUCCUAUCCUCCUUGGAUCCGGCGAGGACAACAAACGACAAUAGCUCCAGCGCCAAGUAUCAGCGAACAGUGAAGACAACCAGUUGUCGGGGCCUCCAGCACCUCCGUCUCCAAAAGUAACAACUGCUCUGGCUAGCUACAACAAAAAACAAAGAACCAGCGAGACCCUCGAGUCUCUAUUCCUCUAGUCUCCGGAAGUUUGAGUUCGAAGACGGAUCUUAACAGAUUCGUCCAUGUGCAGGCACAGGUGGACAAUAGAGCUACAAGAUAAUCGCUGCAAUUAUCCGGACAUUCAACAUUCAUCCGUUUUUGAUAAUGAACACUAGGAUAGCUAAUGGUCAGAGGAGAGGAGGAGCAGCUGCUGCGGAUAAUCAGAAUCCACCUCAGGCUCCAGCUGAAGGAGUGGCGAUGCCAGUUAACCUAGUUGGGUUGAAUGAUGCUGAGGUGAGGCCAUCUCCGGCUCAGAUAGAACAUGCCAUUACGAUGCAGGCUCAGGCUAUGACUGGUCACGUAUAUCGACAAGAUGUUCAGAGAAAGAACCCACCAGUUCGCAGCAUGGCUAACAGGCUGCGAGACUUUACGAGGAUGAACCCUCCUAUAUUCAUAGGGUCUCAGACAUCAUAGGAUCCUCAGAAGUUUGUGGAUGAAGUAAAUAUGAUUCUGGUGGCUAUGGGGCCAAAGAUACUGAGAAGGCUAGGCUGGAUUCCUAUCAGCUCAAGGAUGUUGCACACACUUGGUGCAAGAUAGGGCAAGAUAGCCGUGUUUUGGGUGGAGUGCCAGUCACUUGGGAGCUGUUCAAACCCAGCCAUGAAGGCCACAGAAAUAAUUUGGCGUCCGUGAGCAGCCCAGGUUCAAGAAGGGGCAACAGAGUUCUGGGAACUCUAACUUUUGGAGGAGUACAACACCUAGAGGAGGCAGACCUGAGUCCAAGAAGGGCAAUGGAGGAAAGAUGCAGCGUCCUAAGAAGAAUUGUGCUAAGUGUGGCUGAGCUCACAGCGGAGAGUGAAGACAGGGCAAUAAUGCUUGCUUCGGUUGCGGUAAGAGUGGGCACAUGGUUAGAGACUCCCCAUAGAACAGAGGUCCGGCUAGAGGUAAUGCUCAGCCUGGGCCAAAUCCACAGGGUGCAGCAGCAGCCGAGCCUCCUAAGUGGAACAUAUUCUAUGCCCUGAAGGGCAGGGAGGACCAGGAGAAGUCCUCUGCUGUAGUCGUAGGUGCAGGCACAGGUGGACGAUAGAGCUACAGAAUCAUCGCUGUAGUUAUCUGGACGUUCAACAUUCAUCCGGUUAUGGUAGGUCCUCCUGAUUUCACGGAUGCUGUUGUUUUAUAUUCUAGCUUAGUUUUAGAGUUGAGCUAGUGGAGCAUGUUCCACUAGCGUUUCUUUCCUAUUUUUUAUUCAAACUAUGUAUUGGUGCAAUU